rnacentral:sRNA from 1 species
GAUCAUUAUUGAAAUAAAUCUGAURAGUUGMUGCUGGUUCUCUAGGGAGCAUGUGCACGCUUGUCAUCUUUAUAUUUCCACCUGUGCACCUUUUGUAGACCUGGAUAUCUCUCUGAAUGCUAGCCACUCAGGUUWAGGGAUUGACUUUUCCCGUCUCUCCUUACACUUCCAGGCCUAUGUUUUCUAAUAUACUCCAAAUCUACGUUAUAGAAUGUAUUCAAAGGCCUUUGUGCCUAUAAACUUAUACAACUUUCAGCAACGGAUCUCUUGGCUCUCGCAUCGAUGAAGAACGCAGCGAAAUGCGAUAAGUAAUGUGAAUUGCAGAAUUCAGUGAAUCAUCGAAUCUUUGAACGCACCUUGCGCUCCUUGGUAUUCCGAGGAGCAUGCCUGUUUGAGUGUCAUUAAUAUAUCAACCUCUUCAGCUUUUGCUUGUUGAGUUUUGGAUGUGGGGGUUUUUUUUGCUGGUCUUCUCAGAUCAGCUCCCCUAAAAUAUAUUAGCGGAACAUUUGUUGACCGUUCAUUGGUGUGAUAAAUAUCUACGCUUUUGACGUGAAGCAGUUCAGCUUCCAACAGUCCAUUCGCUUGGACAAGUUUUCAUUAAUGUGACCUCAAAUCAGGUAGGACUACCCGCUGAACUUAAGCAUAUCAAUAAGCGGAGGAAAAGAAACUAACAAGGAUUCCCCUAGUAACUGCGAGUGAAGCGGGAAAAGCUCAAAUUUAAAAUCUGUCAGUCUUUGGCUGUCCGAGUUGUAAUCUAGAGAAGUGUUAUCCGCGCUGGACCGUGUAC